GAUGAACGCUAGCGGCAGGCCUAAUACAUGCAAGUCGAGCGAGAAAGCUCCUUCGGGAGUUAGUAAAGCGGCGAACGGGUGAGCAACACGUGAGAAUCUACCCUUUAGUGAAGAAUACCCUCGAGAAAUCGAGGCUAAUACUGCAUACGUCCCUUCGGGGAGAAAGAUGGCCUCUUUGCUAUCGCUAAAGGAUGAGCUUGCGUACUAUUAGCUAGUUGGCGGGGUAAAGGCCCACCAAGGCAAUGAUGGUUAACCGGCCUGAGAGGGUGUACGGUCACACUGGAACUUAGACACGGUCCAGACUCCUACGGGAGGCAGCAGUGAGGAAUCUUGCGCAAUGGGCGAAAGCCUGACGCAGCGACGCCGCGUGGAGGAUGACGGUUUUCGGAUUGUAAACUCCUGUUAAGCGGGAAGAAAGCCUUGUUUCUAAUACAAGCAAGGUAUGACGGUACCGCUAGAGAAAGCACCGGCUAACUUCGUGCCAGCAGCCGCGGUAAA
rnacentral:rRNA from 1 species